rnacentral:rRNA from 1 species
GACGAACGCUGGCGGCGUGCUUAUCACAUGCAAGUCGAACGGACAGGCCCUGCUUUUGUGGUGUUCUCGAGUGGCGAUCGUGUGAGUAACACGUGAGUAACCUGCCCUUGACUUUUGGAUAACUUCAGUCAACUGUGCCUCAUCCCGGAUAGGAGCUCCUGCUUCAUGGUGGGGUUUGGAACGUUUCGGCGGUUGGGGAUGUACUCGCGGCUUAUCAGCUUGUUGGUGGGGUAGUGGCUUACCAAGGCUUUGACGGGUAGCCGGCCUGAGAGGGUGACCGGCCACAUUGGGACUGAGAUACGGCCCAGACUCCUACGGGAGGCAGCAGUGGGGAAUAUUGCACAAUGGGCGGAAGCCUGAUGCAGCAACGCCGCGUGCGGGAUGACGGCCUUCGGGUUGUAAACCGCUUUCGCCUGUGACGAAGCGUGAGUGACGGUAAUGGGUAAAGAAGCACCGGCUAACUACGUG